rnacentral:rRNA from 1 species
UGGGGAAUCUUGGACAAUGGGCGCAAGCCUGAUCCAGCCAUGCCGCGUGAGUGAUGAAGGCCUUAGGGUUGUAAAGCUCUUUUGCCGGGGACGAUAAUGACGGUACCCGGAGAAUAAGUCCCGGCUAACUUCGUGCCAGCAGCCGCGGUAAUACGAAGGGGACUAGCGUUGUUCGGAUUUACUGGGCGUAAAGGGCGCGUAGGCGGAUUGAUAAGUUAGAGGUGAAAUCCCGGGGCUCAACCUCGGAACUGUCUUUGAUACUGUUAGUCUCGAGUCCGAUAGAGGUGAGUGGAAUUCCUAGUGUAGAGGUGAAAUUCGUAGAUAUUAGGAAGAACACCAGUGGCGAAGGCGGCUCACUGGAUCGGUACUGACGCUGAGGUGCGAAAGCGUGGGGAGCAAACAGGAUUAGAUACCCUUGUAGUCCCUGAGCGGGCUGGCAAGGCGCAU